ensembl:misc_RNA Metazoa_SRP Metazoan signal recognition particle RNA
GCCGGGCAUGGUGGCACAUGCCUGUAAUCCCAACUACUUGGGAGGCUGAGGCAGGAGAAUUGCUUGAACCCAGGAGGUGGAGGUUGUAGUGAGCCGAGAUCACACCACUGCACUCCAGCCUGGGCAACAGAGCAAGUCUCUGUCUCAA